GGUGAACGCUGGCGGCGUGCCUAAUACAUGCAAGUCGAGCGAACGGACGAGAAGCUUGCUUCUCUGAUGUUAGCGGCGGACGGGUGAGUAACACGUGGAUAACCUACCUAUAAGACUGGGAUAACUUCGGGAAACCGUAGCUAAUACCGGAUAAUAUUUUGAACCGCAUGGUUCAAAAGUGAAAGACGGUCUUGCUGCCACUUAUAGAUGGAUCCGCGCUGCAUUAGCUAGUUGGUAAGGUAACGGCUUACCAAGGCAACGAUGCAUAGCCGACCUGAGAGGGUGAUCGGCCACACUGGAACUGAGACACGGUCCAGACUCCUACGGGGGGCAGCAGUAGGGAAUCUUCCGCAAUGGGCGAAAGCCUGACGGAGCAACGCCGCGUGAGUGAUGAAGGUCUUCGGAUCGUAAAACUCUGUUAUUAGGGAAGAACAUAUGUGUAAGUAACUGUGCACAUCUUGACGGUACCUAAUCAGAAAGCCACGGCUAACUACGUG
rnacentral:rRNA from 1 species